rnacentral:rRNA from 1 species
UACGGAGGAGGCAAGCGUUAUCCGGAAUUAUUGGGCGUAAAGCGUCCGUAGGUGGCUAGUCAAGUCUGCGGUCAAAGACUGGGGCUUAACCCUGGAAAGGCCGUGGAAACUGACGAGCUAGAGUGCAGUAGGGGUAGAGGGAAUUCCCGGUGUAGCGGUGAAAUGCGUAGAGCUCGGGAAGAACAUCGGUGGCGAAAGCGGCUCACUGGACCACAACUGACGCUGAGGCGCGAAAGCUAGGGGAGCAAACAGG